UACGUAGGGGGCAAGCGUUGUCCGGAUUUAUUGGGCGUAAAGAGCGUGUAGGCGGCCAGGUAGGUCAGCUGUGAAAACUCGAGGCUCAACCUCGAGAUGUCGGCUGAAACCAUCUGGCUAGAGUCCGGAAGAGGAGAAUGGAAUUCCCGGUGUAGCGGUGAAAUGCGCAGAUAUCGGGAAGAACACCAGUGGCGAAGGCGGCUCACUGGCCUGGUAUUGACGCUGAGGUGCGAAAGCGUGGGGAGCAAACAGG
rnacentral:rRNA from 1 species